rnacentral:rRNA from 1 species
AUUGAACGCUGGCGGCAGGCCUAACACAUGCAAGCCGAGCGGGGUUUUCGGACCUAGCGGCGGACGGGUGAGUAAUGCGUAGGAAGCUACCCGAUAGAGGGGGAUACCAGUUGGAAACGACUGUUAAUACCGCAUAAUGUCUACGGACCAAAGUGUGGGACCUUCGGGCCACAUGCUAUCGGAUGCGCCUACGUGGGAUUAGCUAGUUGGUGGGGUAAUGGCUCACCAAGGCGACGAUCCCUAGCUGGGUUGAGAGGAUGAUCAGCCACACUGGAACUGAGACACGGUCCAGACUCCUACGGGAGGCAGCAGUGGGGAAUAUUGGACAAUGGGCGCAAGCCUGAUCCAGCCAUGCCGCGUGUGUGAAGAAGGCCUUCGGGUUGUAAAGCACUUUCAGUAGGGAGGAAGGAUGUUGUGUUAAUAGCACAGCAUUUUGACGUUACCUACAGAAGAAGCACCGGCUAACUCUGUGCCAGCCGCCGCAGUAAUAC